UACGUAGGGCGCAAGCGUUGUCCGGAAUUAUUGGGCGUAAAGAGCUCGUAGGCGGUCUGUCGCGUCUGUUGUGAAAACUCGAGGCUCAACCUCGGGCUUGCAGUGGAUACGGGCAGACUAGAGUGCGGUAGGGGAGACUGGAAUUCCUGGUGUAGCGGUGAAAUGCGCAGAUAUCAGGAGGAACACCGAUGGCGAAGGCAGGUCUCUGGGCAUUAACUGACGCUGAGGAGCGAAAGCAUGGGGAGCGAACAGG
rnacentral:rRNA from 1 species